ACUUAAACAAACAUAGUUUAACAUUAUCAGUUAUACAUUAUGUUACAAAUAUAUGAACUAUAAACAAGGCACUAGAUGAUUACAGUUGUUGUCACACCCGGCUUUAAAGGACAAAGCUGGAUGCAUCUCAUACAUGCGUCAAAGAAGACAACAUAUAUAAUAACAAAGUAUAUAAAGAUAAAUGUCAUAAUAAUCAGAGUAUUUAUUACAUAGCGGAAGUCUUACAAAAUAGAAGAUAAAUAUAAAAGAAUCUAAAAUCUAUCCUUGGCGCCAGAAAGUCAACUCGAAGACGCCACCUAUAUCAAAUCACACUCCUCGAUAAGUGACUCCUCUUGAACCUCAUAUUCUUCUCCUCUAGGGGUGAGACAGCAAGGGUGAGCUCACACAUGUUCAUUGCUCAACAAGUUGUGGGGAAUAAUGUGCAUAAACACACCAAAGGUGGGAGUUCAUGGGAUGUGUAAAGUUGAUCAACAAUGGGGGUUAAAGUUGAGCAUUGCUUUUAAUAAGUUGGUCAAAUUUUAUUAGCAGUUACUAAAUGUAAGUAAAUACCAAACCAUAAUAAUAAUAGUAGAACAAAAUUAAUAAAUAAUCCCAUGCAAUGCAAAUGACAAAUUGAAUUUAAGUUCCAUAAAUUAAUCAUGCGAGAGUCCUGAGCUGCUCAUGACCGUGAGCUUGGCUAGUAUACCAGUUUUAUACUCUGCAGAGGUUGUACCCUGUACCUAUAGGGUACAUUCGGGCCGCCCGGCCCAGCCCAAGCCCGAAAAGGCCCGUAUUGUUUAAAUUUCGGGCCGGCCCGACCCGUUUGAAUUUCGGGUCGUGCCGGGCCGGCCCAUGGGCCUAGCCCUUGGCCCACGGCCCGGCCCGUAAUUGCUUAAACGUGUCAGGCUUAUUUCGGGCGGCCCGAAAUUAUAAAAGCCCGAAAUUCAAUUUUUGGCCCGAAAUUCACAUUAGGCCCGAAAUUCAGUUUUUGGCCCAAAAUUCACAUUAGAGCCCUAAAUUCAGAAAAAUAAUAAAACAAAUAAAAGAUAAGACAAAUAAAUUUGAACAAAAUCAAACUUAAUAUUUGUAUUAAAGUUACCACAGCUAUGCAAUGACUACCUCGUUUAUAAAUCAUUUUGUUAGAAGGAAAAAGAGUAUAAUCAGCUCUAUACAAAGUUCGUAAGUUCAGUUUAUUGUCUAAUGUUCAUAACAAAAGUAAAAUUACAUCACACACUCUAAUUAAAAGAUAAAAAAAGAUCUAACUAGCAUUAUCUCUAGCUUUGUGUUUUUUAUCAAGUAUAUGUGUCGGCGUUUCGAACCCGGGGGGUCCCUGGACCGACGAGUAAAUUGUCGCCGCGUGCCCCAGCCUAGAUGGGUCGGCGUGAGACGGAGCGCGAAGGGGGGAGAGAAGCCAGAGGGAGACAGGCGUAAAAGGGGAAACCCACGGCCUUCGUGUUUGUCCCGCGCCCAGGUCGGGUGCGCUUGCAGUAGAGGGUUACAAGCGUCCGCGUGGGAGAGAGCGAGAGGCUUAUGCGCGUGCCGUCCCGUCCUUCCCCGCGCGGCCAACCCUCUGUAAGAGGGCCCUGGACCUCCCUUUUAUAGGCGUAAGGAGAGGGUCCAGGUGUACAAUGGGAGAUGUAGCAGUGUGCUAACGUGUCUAGCGGGGAGGAGCUAGUGUCCUGAGUACAUGCCGUCGUGGCAGCCGGAGAGGUUUUGGCACCCUGUUCGUGUGAUGUCGUGGCAGUCGGAGGAGCGCUGGAGCCUGGCGGAAGGACAGCUGUCGGGGCUGUCGAGUCCUUGCUGACGUCUCCUUGCUUCCGUAAGGGGGCUGAGAGCCGCCGCCGUCAUGGGGCAUGCGGGGCGCCAUCAUUACUUGUUUACCGGGGCGAGCCAGAUGGGACGUCGGUCUUGUUCCCCGUAGCCUGAGCUAGAUAGGGGUAGGGUAAUGAUGGCCCCUCCUGUGACGUGGUCGGUUCGAGCCCUGGGUUGGGCGAGGCGGAGGCUCCUCCGAGGUCGAGGUCGAGUCUGUCUUCCGAGGCCGAGGUCGAGUCCGAGCCCCUGGGUCGGGCGAGGCGGAGACCGUCGGCUGAGGCCAGGGCUGAGUCCGAGCCCUGGGGUCGGGCGAGGCGGAGUUCGUCGUCUUCCGGGGCUGAGCCCGAGUCCGAGCCCUGGGGUCGGGCGAGGCGGAGUUCGUCGUCUUCCGGGGCUGAGCCCGAGUCCGAGCCCUAGGGUCGGGCGAGGCGAAGUUCGUCGUCUUCCGGGGCUGAGCCCGAGUCCGAGCCCUGGGGUCGGCCGAGGCAGAGUUCUUCGUCUUCCGGGGCUGAGCCCGAGUUCGAGCCCUGGGGUCGGGCGAGGCGGAGUUCGUCGUCUUCCGGGGCUGAGCCCGAGUCCGAGCCCUGGGGUCGGGCGAGGCGGAGUUCGUCGUCUUCCGGGGCUGAGCCCGAGUCCGAGCCCUGGGGUCGGGCGAGGCGGAGUUCGUCGUCUUCCGGAGCUGAGCCCGAGUCCGAGCCCUGGGGUCGGGCGAGGCGGAGCUUCCUAUGGCGCUCGAGGCCGGACUUGGCUGCUGUCAGCCUCACUCUGUCGAGUGGCACAGCAGUCGGAGCGGCGCAGGCGGCACUAUCCUCUUAUCAGGCCGGUCAGUGGAGCGGCAAAGUGACUGUGGUCACUUCGGCUCUGUCGACUGAAGGGCGCGCGUCAGGAUAAGGUGCCAGGCCACCUUUGCAUUAAAUGCUCCUGCGAUACGGUCGGUCGGCGUGGCGACUUGGCCAAGGUUGCUUCUUAGCGAAGACUGGGCCUCGGGCGAACUGAAGGUGUGUCCGUUGCUGGAGGGGGUCCUCGGGCGAGACGUAAAUCCUCCGGGGUCGGCUGCCUUGCCCGAGGCUGGGCUCGGGCGAGGCGAGGUCGUGUCCCUUGAGUGGACCGAGCCUUGACUUAAUUGUACCCAUCAAGCCUUCGCAGCUUUGUGCUGAUGGGGGUUACCAGCUGAGAUUAGGAGUCUUGAGGGUACUCCUAAUUAUGGUCCCCGACAGUAGCCCCGAGCCUCGAAGGGAGUGUUAAUACUCGCUUGGAGGCUUUUGUCGCACUUUUUUGCAAGGGGACCGGCCUUUCUCGGUUGCGUUUUGUUCCAGCGGGUGCGCGCGAGCGCACCCGCCGGGUGUAGCCCCCGAGGCCUCGGAGGAGUGGUUUGACUCCUUCGAGGUCUUAAUGCGUUUCGUGAUGCUUCGGCCGGUGUGGUUGUUCCCUCAUGCGAGCUGGCCGUAGCCCGGGUGCACGGUCGGGUCCCAAGUUCUCGGGCUGGUAUGUUGACGCUGUCAACGGUUUGGCCGGAGCCGGGUUUGCGAGAGCAGCCCCCGAGCCCCUGCACAGAGCAAGAGGACGGUCAAGGACAGACUCGACUUUUUUACAUACGCCCCUGCGUCGCCUUUCCGCAAGGAGGAGGGGAGAGAAGCGCCAUGUUGCCCUUGGAGGGCGCCGAACAUGGUGUCUCCAGUGAGCUGCUGACGGGUAAUCCGAGUGGACGCCCGUGCCCCAUUUGUUAGAGGUCGGCUAGAGGCCCGGAGGCGCGCUCCAAAAGUACCUGCGGGUUAUCUGUCAGACCCGGUCCCCUUUUGAUGGGGUCUGAGGGCUCGAUGCCUCCCUCUGAUGGGAUUCCGUUACAAGAUCGUUCCCGCUGAUCUCGGAAAUGUCCUAGGGUACCUCGGGAGCGUAGCCCGAGCCUUGGUUAUGUAUCGAACGUACCCAGGGUCAUCCCUCGCUCUGCGUCUGAGGCGGCUGUGAACCCUUCGAGGGCCAGCCUACGAACCCCUGAUCAGUAGUGGGCGCGGAGCCCGAGUGGCCUGAGGCGGCCGUUGAACCCUUCCGAGGGGCCGGCCUUCGAACCUCUGACCAGUAGUGGGCGUUGAGCCCGAGCGCUCUGAGGCGGCUGUUGAACCCCUCCGAGGGGCCAACCUUCGAACCUCUGAUCAGUAGGGGGGCUCAGGGCCCGUUUCCUUUGCGGAGAAGGAUCCCUUUCGGGGUAUCCCCUUUCCCGGUCCCUGUUGUAAGAGAGAGAAAGAGGAAGAGGAAAAGGAUACGAAAAUCAAAUGACGUGGCAUACCUUUUUUGACGCGGUCAUUAUGGCGGAGGUGAAGCGUCGCCUGCUUCGCCCGCCAAAGGUGCCACCUGUCCCGCCGCAGAGUUAAUGCGACGGGACAAGUGGUUCGCGGGGCAGCCGUUGUGCGUGUGAGCCGUUCGAGGAACGGGUGUUUCGCUUUGAGUUUUGAAUCCCGCUGUGGGUUCGGGCGACGCGUUGAACGGGUCUCGCCUGGGUCUUUAUAUAUUCGGGAGAGGGACCGGUGACGGUUCUUUGCUCUGCUACUUGCCUCCUUCUUAGGUUUUCGCAACCCGAGGGAAUAGCCAGAGAAAAGGAAACCACCCACCCAGUCCUUUCCGCCGCCACCUCCUCUGCUUGGUGAUGGCCGACCGGGUGACCAUUGUUCCGCCGCGCGACCCGUGGCCUUUCUCCACCGUCACGGCGGAUGACCUGGAGGCCCUCGUCGCUGAGGGUUUACUUCGCCCUCUCUCCGAUGAGAGGCAGCCGGAGUGGAUGCCCCCCCCGAGCGGAGCCGCCCCGUCCCCGCCGCCGGGGUAUGUCGUGAGCUUCGUCUCCUUUCACGAACGGGGGUUUGGAGUGCCGGCAAGCCGUUUUAUGCGGACGAUUCUGCAUGUCUACAGGGUGGAGCUGCACAACCUCAGCCCUAACUCCAUCUCGCAAGCCGCCAUCUUCGCAGCGGUUUACGAAGGAUACUUGGGGAUUGACCCUCACUGGGACCUGUGGACUCAUUUCUUCUCCGCGGAGCUUUUUGCUUCGCCAACGGGGGAGAGAAGGGUCCACGCGGCAGUGCGGGCCGGUGGCUGCAUCCUCCAGCUGAGGCAGGCGCGGGCGCCGCAGUAUAUUCCCGUCGUCUUUGCGUCCUCGAACAAAGGGUGGCAGCGCCGGUGGUUUUAUCUCCGAAAUGACGACGAGAGGCUCCCGUCGUUUUCUCAGCGAGUGGUGACCGUCGCCGCCGAUGCCUGGCGCUACGGGACCCCGCACGACAGACAGAAGAAUCUCCAGCCCCUUCUGAAGGCCCUGGAGGUGUUGCGGAAAGGAGGGCUCACCGCUGCGGGAGUGGUUGCCGCCAUUCAUCGCCGGAGGGUGCUUCCCUUGACGGGGCGGCGGUUGCCGCUUUGGGAGAUGACGCCGGAGGCCGACUUGGAGGGUUUGCGAAUGUCCUCGGAUCCCUUUCCCGUCAACGACCUCUACGGGCGGGUAGCCGUCGCGUUGGGGAAACCGGACGCCGGCGCCCUUUCCCAGCCCUUGAUGCGUCCCGACCGCGGGUGUGUGUCCCUGGUGAGUGUCCGCUCCUUCUUUCUCCUUGCGUCGGAUUGCCCUUGGUUCUCACAGCCGAGACUUUCCGUCUGUCCCUAGGAGGUAGGGUGGCACAAGCCUUCCCGGCCACCGGUCCCGGAGGACGCGGUGGACCGAGCUACGCGGAGGGUUGCUGCGGAGAAGAGGAAGGAGAAAAAGGACACAAAGAAGGCUCGGGCCCGCGAGCGGAUGCGGGCUCGGGACGCCUUGGAAAGGCUCCGUCGUCGGCAGGAGAGGGAUGGGCUCCCGAGGGAGCCGUCGCCGGAAACGCCUGACGACGAUGACGAUGAAGACGAUGACGAAGACGACGAUAUGGCUGCUCGCCUUGGCCUCAGCCCGGAUCUGAGGCUGGGCCAGGAGUCGUCAAGCCAGCCCCCGAGCGGGCUGGCGCCGUCGGUUUCCGGGGCCGGGACGUCGGGGUCCCGGUCCGAAGAGCGGGGGCAGACCGAGGGGGUACUUGACCCCUCGGCUGGGGAAGUUGAGGUGACCCCGGGGAGUCAGGUCGAGCUGCCUGUUCCCCGAGAACCGUCGCCCGUGCCGGCUGCGCAGGAGGGCGAUCCUCAGGUCAUCGUGGCUGCGCCUGGGCAGUCCGUCUCUCGAGCGUCCAGGGCGCCCAAGGCGAGGAUGGUACCGAAGCUGGCAGCGAGGCAGACCUCGGCGGUACCUUCGGGGGUCGAGGUUCGAGAGACCUCCCCACAAGCACGAUUGAUCAUGGCCCGGAGUGGGUAAGUACCUUAGGAUGUCUUCGUCCUGGCUCCCCCUUUGUAUGUCCCGACCUUGACUUCCCUUUUUUCCUUAGCAAGCGGAGUCACGGUCCGACCGAUCUGGCUCCCCGGAAGGUCCUCAAGACGGCGUCGGCUUCCGCAGCUGGUGUCGCGCCGGGCCUCGCCGGCCAGCUGACCUCCUCGCAUGACGCCCCACAGCGGGGGGCUCAGGCGGCACCAGUUGCCGCGGAGCGAGCUCCCGAGGCUGGUUCUUCUGUCGAGGCGGCCAUCGCGCUGGGGGAGGCUGCUGGCGCGGCCGUGGCCUCGGGCCCACCAGACAUGCUGUCGGCGCUGGCGCCGGCCGCUGCCGAGGCCGUUGCCGUCCCGGCCGUGGAGCGACCCGUCGCCGUUGACGCUGAGAUGGCCGUGGCGUCACUACUUGGUGCCUCGGAGGAGGGGGGGCGCGGGACCACGACCCGUCCCGUCGAGCGGCAGCCUUGUCCCCGCGCGGCGCAGCUCCGAGGGGCGGCGCCAGUUGCUUCGGUUCCGGACCCGUGAGGCCUCGGAUCCCUUCUUCGUUCUUGACGAUGAGCGGGAGGAGCAGUCUUGGGACGAGCUCCGUGAGUGUGCCGAGGCAACGGUGGGGUCGCUCCGGUCAUCCUUGGAGGUCUUUUGCAGGGACGUUCCCAAGAUCCUCCAGGUAAUGAUUUCAGGCAUACCUUUCUCGUGAUCAAGGCGUCCUUUGUGACGCCCCGCUUCCUUUCCUCAGGAUCUGACGGAUCUGAGCGCCGCCAAGUCGUCGUUCAUCCGCCGCGAGGUCGAUGUCUGGGGUUCGCUGCGGUCCCUGAGGACCACGCUUGCCAGGGCUACUGCGCGCCUCUCCCAGCAGAGCGCCGAGGUGGCGGACCUUCGGUUGCUCUAUGCCGACCUGGGAGCAGAGGCAGCAGCGGCACGCGCAGAGGUGCAGCGACGGCAGUCGGAGCUUGACCAGGUCACCGACGAGCGGGACCAAUCUCGGGGGCGGGCCGCCGAGGCCGAAAGCCGGGCCGGAGCCCUUGCAGCAGACCUAGCCGUGGCCCAAGCCGCAUCCUCGGAGCAGCGUGCCCGAGCCGGAGGUAUGUCUUGGUUGUUUUAAGCUUUUGCUUCAGCUCGGUUCCUCAACUUGCGUUUGAGGUCUUACGCUUUGGCUGUUCGCAGAGCUCAAGUCUGCCCUUGAUAAGUCCACCAAGGCGCUUGCUCAGGCGGCCGAGCAGAGGGAGGCCGACCACGCGGCCAUGUCUGAUGCCAUCUCGGCUUUCUGUCGGGUCUUCGGCUUCGACGACGUCCCCUCGGGAAGCUCCCCUCAAAGUCGCCUGCAGGCCUUGGGUGACCACGCGCGUGGCAGACUCCGCGAGGCGCUACAUCACGACGUCAGGCGGGCCUUCGCCGUGCUUGCUUCCCACUAUGUCGUGGAUCUGGAGCGAGUCAGCGAGGGGUAUUGCCUCCCCGACGAAGAUGAAGUCGCCCUGGCCGAAGUCCAGAGGCUCGACGCGGCCGCCGCGGGCCCGAGCGCGGUGCUGGCAACCACCUUCGAGGCAGAGAUCCUCCCACUUGCGCCGUCGUCCGAGGCCGGGGCAGACCUUGCCGAGGGUGGGAACGAAGCCGAGGGCGCGGCUCCUUCUCCGGGCGACGCCUGACUCUGCCGGAGCAGUCUUCUUUGAAUGCACAUGUGUCUUUUGCGGCCACUGAGGCCCGAACACUUUAUUAUCGUAGUAUAAGGUUGUGUUCCUUUUCCUCCCGUUUUGCGUAUUUGGCCCCGUUCGUCAGUAGCAGGGUGGCUUGCCCAAGUAAGAGUCAUUUUUCGUGGUAGGUGACGAGUGAGGUAUCCGUAUCCCAGAGGCGUAGGAGUCCCUCGGCUCGGUCGGCCUUGCCACUUACAUGCGCCCUCAUUCGCUUCUUGGGGUCCUGCUACAGAUAUAGCCGGGGAACGCAGAAGCCUUUUUGAUGGAAGACUUUUUUCGAGGAAAAUUUUGACGCAGAGGGGGUUCCCCCCCUUUUAGCCCCCGAGGGAGGGUUGGGCUUUGCCGAGGCAAGGCUUACCCUUCCUUGAUGACUAGACUUUGUGUGUGAACGAGGUGUACGAACAACUUGAAAGCAUCUUAAGGGUAGAAGCGACGUAGUUGUCGGAUGUUCCAAGCGUUGUUGUAGACCUCGCCUUGACUGUUGGCCAGCUUGUACGUUCCGGGCUUCAGAACCUUGGCGGCGACGAACGGCCCUUCCCAGGGAGGCGUGAGCUUGUGCCGCCCUCGGGCGUCUUGUCACAGCCGAAGCACCAGGUCGCCCACCUGGAGGUCUCGGGAUCGAAACCCUCGGGCGUGGUAGCGUUGCAGGGACUGCUGGUACCGCGCCGAGUGUAGUAAGGCCAUGUCCCGAGCCUCUUCCAGCUGGUCCAGUAAGUCUUCUCGAUUAGCUCGAUUGCUUUGGUCGGCGUAAGCCCUCGUCCUCGGGGAACCGUAUUCUAAGUCUGUGGGCAAGAUGGCCUCGGCCCCAUAGACUAGAAAGAACGGUGUGAAGCCUGUGGCUCGGCUCGGCGUCGUCCUCAGACUCCAGACCACCGAGGGGAGUUCCUUCAUUCAUCGCUUGCCGAACUUGUUGAGGUCGUUGUAGAUCCGCGGCUUGAGUCCUUGUAGAAUCAUGCCGUUGGCACGCUCUACUUGCCCAUUCGUCAUGGGGUGAGCCACGGCGGCCCAGUCCACCCGGAUGUGGUGAUCCUCGCAGAAGUCCAGGAACUUUCUGCCGAUGAACUGGGUGCCAUUGUCGGUGAUGAUAGAGUUCGGGACCCCAAAGCGGUGGAUGAUGUUGGUGAAGAACGCCACCGCCUGUUCGGACCUGAUGCUGCUUAGGGGUCGGACCUCGAUCCACUUGGAGAAUUUGUCGAUGGCGACCAACAGGUGCGUGUAGCCCCCGGGUGCCUUCUGCAAGGGACCGACGAGGUCUAGACCCCACACAGCAAACGACCAGGUGAUGGGUAUCGUCUGUAGAGCCUGGGCGGGCAAGUGUGUCUGCCUCACGUAGAACUGACACCCUUCGCAGGUGCGGACAAUUCUAGUGGCGUCGGCCACCGCGGUCGGCCAGUAGAAACCUUGUCGGAAGGCGUUUCCAACAAGGGCUCGAGACGCUGCGUGAUGGCCGCAAGCCCCCGAGUGUAUUUCUUGUAAGAGCUCCUGGCCUUCGGCGAUUGUCGGCGUUUCGAGACCGGGGGGUCCCUGGGCCGACGAGUGAAAUGUCGCCACGUGCCCCAGCCCAGAUGGGUCGGCGCGAGGCCGAGCGCGAAGGGGGGAGGAAAGGCGGCCGGAGACGGGCGUGAGAGAGGUGGAAAUCCCGCGGCCUUCGUGUUCGUCCCGCGCCCAGGUCGGGUGCGCUUGCAGUAGGGGGUUACAAGCGUCCACGUGGGAGAGGGAGGGAGCGGCCUCACGCGAGCGACUGUCUCGUCCUCGUCCCCGCGUGGCCAACCCUCUGUAAGAGGGCCCUGGUCCUUCCUUUUAUAGGCGUAAGGAGAGGACCCAGGUGUACAAUGGAGGGUGUAGCAGAGUGCUACGUGUCUAGCGGAGGAGAGCUAGCGCCCUAAGUACAUGCCGUCGUGGCAGCCGGAGAGGUUUUGGCACCCGGUUCGUGUGGUGACGUGGCCGUCGGAGGAGCGCUGGAGCCUGGCGGAAGGACAGCUGUCGGGGCUGUCGAGUCCUUGCUGACGUCCUCUUGCUUCCGUAAGGGGGCUGAGAGCCGCCGUCGUUAGGGAGCGUGCGAGGCGCCAUCAUUGCCUAUCUGGCGGAGCGAGCCAGAUGGGACGCCGGUCUUGUUCCCCGUAGCCUGAGUCAGCUUGGGGUAGGGUAAUGAUGGCGCCUCCUGUCGACGUGGUCGGUCCGCGCCCUAGGUUGGGCGAUGUGGAGGCUCCUCCGAGGUCGAGGUCGAGUCUGUCUUCCGUGGCCGUGGUCGAGUCCGAGCCCCUGGGUCGGGCGAGGCGGAGACCGUCGGCUGAGGCCAGGGCUGAGUCCGAGCCCUGGGGUCGGGCGAAGCGGAGUUCGUCGUCUUCUGGGGCUGAGCCCAAAUCCGAGCCCUAGGUCGGGCGGAGCGGAGUUCGUCGUCUUCUGGGGCUGAGCCCAAGUCCGAGCACUGGGUCGGGCGAGGCGGAGUUCGUCGUCUUCCGGGGCAGAGCCCGAGUCCGAGCCCUGGGGUCGGGCGAGGCGGAGUUCGUCGUCUUCCGGGGCAGAGCCCGAGUCCGAGCCCUGGGGUCGGGCGAGGCGGAGUUCGUCGUCUUCCGGGGCUGAGCCCGAGUCCGAGCCAUGGGGUCGGGCGAGGCGGAGUUCGUCGUCUUCCGGAGCUGAGCCCGAGUCCGAGCCCUGGGGUCGGGCGAGGCGGAGCUUCCUAUGGCGCUCGAGGCCGGACUUGGCUGCUGUCAGCCUCACUCUGUCGAGUGGCACAACAGUCGGAGCGGCGCAGGCGGCGCUGUCCUCUUGUCAGGCCGGUCAGUGGAGCGGCAAAGUGACUGCGGUCACUUCGGCUCUGUCGACUGAAGGGCGCGCGUCAGGAUAAGGUGUCAGGCCACCUUUGCAUUAAAUGCUCCUGCGAUACGGUCGGUCGGCGUGGCGACUUGGCCAAGGUUGCUUCUUGGCAAAGACUGGGCCUCGAUCGAACCGAAGGUGUGUCCGUUGCUCGAGGGGGUCCUCGGGCGAGACGUAAAUCCUCCGGGGUCGGCUGCCCUUGCCCGAGGCUGGGCUCGGGCGAGGCGAGGUCGUGUCCCUUGAGUGGACCGAGCCUUGACUUAAUUGUACCCAUCAGACCUUUGCAGCUUUGUGCUGAUGAGGGUUACCAGCUGAGAUUAGGAGUCUUGAGGGUACCCCUAAUUAUGGUCCCCGACAAUAUGAAAGUGUGGAAUGAAGUGUGGUUUUAAUAAAUAUAUGGGCCUUUUCGUGCCUCUAUAUGGGCCUUUUCGUGCCUGCCUUAAACGGGCCGUGCUCGUGCCCGCCCAUGGGUCGUGACCUCGGCACAAACCCGGCCCGAUAUAACGGGUCGUGCCGGCCCGACACUAAAUUAUUUCGGGUCGUGCCGUGCUUGGGCCGUGCUUUUUUUCCGUGCUUCGGGCCGGCCCAUCAGGCCCGGCCCAAAUGUACACCUAUACCUGUACCCACAAGUCGUGUUACCCAUCUGCCAAGUGAUCGCGACUCCCAUACACCUCUACCAAGGAAGCGAGGCAGGGCAACAAUACGAGACCUUUACAAAGUUCCACUAGCUUCCAAAAACCCGCUAUAGUUUAUGGGAAGAGCACUUGCAAUCCCCCGUUUGACCGCCAUCGCAGCAAAAUCAACCCGAGAACCUCCUUGCAUGCAACUCCCCUACUGCCCUUGCCCCUUUCGGGUAAGAUAGUCUUCCACUAGCUUUCCUAAUUAGUCAGCCAAGGGCGUCCCAUUCCACCUUGUGGCGGCACGUGUUUCUCAAGUUAAGCUCCAUGUUCCAAUUAACAUUAAUGAUCUUGACAUGAACAUAAAUAGAAUAACAAAAUAAUUGGAAAAUGGAUAUAAUGAAAUAUUAUCCCAAAACCAUGUAAAGCAAUAGCAAAACUACCUAAGUGAUUCAGGGAUAACAAGGUAAAAUGGAUAAACAGACUAGGGUGACCUAUUGGGUCCCAUCAAAAUUAAACCUAUACAUGAAUAAUGACAUUAAAGAAUAUUAUUGGGUAUAAACGUGGUCAACGGCACAACUUGCCUCGGACUUGACAUUCUAGUUAACAGGGUGAUUCUUCAGAUCCUCAUGACCUCACUGCUAGUCGUAGCAAUACAAACAAACAUGGUAUAUACAAAAUUAACAUCACAACAAACAUAAGAAAAAACUGAAUAAUAAUGAUCUACGCGAAGCUACGAGAUCGUGAGAACGAGAACCACUAAAAUCGGAGUUACGGUUAAGGAGUUAUGAUUUUUAUAAAAGAUCUAUGUGAUUUAAAUAUUAAACCAUAUUAUAAUUUGGUUAGUAUAGAUAUAUGAAAGGUCAUUCUAUAAAUAAUUAUCUCAACUUAAAUCUAAGUUAGAAAUUGAUCAUAGAUCAUAUUUUAGUAGAUUAUAAUGCUAAGCACAUUAACAAGUCUAACCAACAUAAAUUAAAUAAAGAUCUAAAUAGAAAAGAAUGAGACAUGGUAUACUCAAUAUUGUUACUGCGUAGUAAAUACUUAUAUAAAACUAACGCAACUGGAAUGAAUCAAAUCGGAAUUCAAACGGAGGAGCUACGAAUUUCCUAGGUUUUAUGUACUUGAUAUAAGAUUAAUUAGGAAAUAAAUUUAAAGUGGAUUUCAUGUCAAAUCAGUAUCACUAUUUGAUAAACAAUAAUAUUAUAAAAUUAUAGGAAUUGGAAUGAAUUAACUUGAGCUAGAAUGGAUUUUCUAUGAAUUAACUAAAUUUCUGGAAUUAUUUUAACACUAAAAAUCAUUUUCUAAUUGACUUUCUGAAUUUCCUAUGAUUCUGGACCGCGCCGCAUAUUUUCUAAAAGAUCAGGGGUCAGAUUAAAACAAAAAGGACUCAGUUGUAAUGAUCUGUAUAUUAUUGAGGAUGACGGGUUGGUUUCCCCAAAACCCAGGGGCUUAUUUGCCAAAUUGCUCGGCUGAAGGGGUAUCCAAACGUUUGGGCCGUUGGAUCCAUGUCCGAUGGUUCGGAUUAGAUUGGGCGCUUUAUGAACCGGUACGUGUGAUUGACCGCACGAUCAUGAUCCAGUGGUCUAGAUCUUAUCAAUCCAAGUCUAAUCGCACACGUUCACAGCCAAUCCAAGGGACGUGGAUCACCAAGCCGAAUCGCUACAUCCCCUCUAAUCUCCAUCGUUCCCGUGCAAUCUGACGGCUAUCCACGCAUCUCACUCCGGCGAGAGUUGGCAGCCGCGCCGCCGGUCCCCUUGACGGCGACCUCACCGGAGACGUUCGAAUUAACGCCACAAAGCGCAAAAACUUAAUCAAGAACUGCUACGCGAUGACUAGAGGACGGUGAGUUGAGUGGAGGAUCAUACCGGGCUUUCGGGGCAAUGGACAGAUUGGUUCACGGCGAUAGAAGGCUUCUCGGCGGCGGAGAGCGUGGUUGAGGAACCCCACGGCCUCCCAGCUUUAGAUCCCGAGUGCCCAAACCCGCACGGACACGGUACGGCACGGUGAUUCCCCACGCAGUCUGCUGGCGCCCGGUGUCUGCAUGGACGGCGGAUGGUCGACGGCGGCCUGUUGUCCCGUAUGGUGAUGUCCGCCGGCGGCACAAAUUCGCGCGAUGUGGACAAGGGUGUAUGCGGUUAAGGGGGGGUGGAAUAACCAGGCGCAGGUCUUAUAACCGCGGCGCAGCUG
rnacentral:lncRNA from 1 species